rnacentral:ncRNA from 1 species
UUAGACCGUCGUGAGACAGGUUAGUUUUACCCUACUGAUGAUGUGUGUUGCCAUGGUAAUCCUGCUCAGUACGAGAGGAACCGCAGGUUCAGACAUUUGGUGUAUGUGCUUGGCUGAGGAGCCAAUGGGGCGAAAGCUACCAUCUGUGGGAUUAUGACUGAACGCCUCUAAGUCAGAAUCCCGCCCAGGCGGAACCGAUACGGCAGCGCCGAAGGAGCCUCGGUUGGCCUCGGAUAGCCGGUCCCCCGCCGUCCCCGCCGGCGGCCCGCGUCGUGCGUCCGCCUCGGCGGCGUGCGGCGCGCCCCCCGCCGCGCGUCGGGACCGGGGUCCGGUGCGGAGAGCCCUUCGUCCCGGGAAAUGGGGCGCGGCCGGAAAGGGGGCCGCCCUCUCGCCCGUCACGCACCGCACGUUCGUGGGGAACCUGGCGCUAAACCAUUCGUAGACGACCUGCUUCUGGGUCGGGGUUUCGUACGUAGCAGAGCAGCUCCCUCGCUGCGAUCUAUUGAAAGUCAGCCCUCGACACAAGGGUUUGU